UGUAGGAACUUGACGGUACCGUAAGAAUAAGGAUCGGCUAACUCCGUGCCAGCAGCCGCGGUAAUACGGAGGAUCCAAGCGUUAUCCGGAAUCAUUGGGUUUAAAGGGUCCGUAGGCGGCCUUAUAAGUCAGUGGUGAAAGCCCAUCGCUUAACGAUGGAACGGCCAUUGAUACUGUAGGGCUUGAAUUUUUGUGGAGUAACUAGAAUAUGUAGUGUAGCGGUGAAAUGCUUAGAUAUUACAUGGAAUACCAAUUGCGAAGGCAGGUUACUAACAAACAAUUGACGCUGAUGGACGAAAGCGUGGGGAGCGAACAGGAUUAGAUACCCUGGUAGUCCACGCCGUAAACGAUGGAUACUAGCUGUUUGGAGCAAUCUGAGUGGCUAAGCGAAAGUGAUAAGUAUCCCACCUGGGGAGUACGCACGCAAGUGUGAAACUCAAAGGAAUUGACGGGGGCCCGCACAAGCGGAGGAGCAUGUGGUUUAAUUCGAUGAUACGCGAGGAACCUUACCAGGGCUUAAAUGGGAGACGACAGGACUGGAAACAGUUUUUUCUUCGGACGUCUUUCAAGGUGCUGCAUGGUUGUCGUCAGCUCGUGCCGUGAGGUGUCAGGUUAAGUCCUAUAACGAGCGCAACCCCUAUUGUUAGUUGCCAGCGGGUCAUGCCGGGAACUCUAACAAGACUGCCGGUGCAAACCGUGAGGAAGGUGGGGAUGACGUCAAAUCAUCACGGCCCUUACGUCCUGGGCUACACACGUGCUACAAUGGACGGUACAGAGAGCAGCCACCACGCAAGUGGGCGCGAAUCUUCAAAGCCGUUCUCAGUUCGGAUCGGAGUCUGCAACUCGACUCCGUGAAG
rnacentral:rRNA from 1 species